AGAACUUGUCAGUGCCUUUAAUAGGAGGGAUGAGUCUCCAGGAGAGUUUGUUGUCAGGAUUUAACACUUAUUCUUGGAAAAGCAGUGAUUUGUGCUGGAAAUGAACUGGGCAGACCCUGCUCCUAUCUCCAUCUGCUCCAAUCUCAGUGCCCUCCACUCCCCUUCAGCAGCGCCUGUAAUAAAGUCACUGCACAACACCUACAAAUGGAGGAGUGGAGGAGCAUCACUUUCCAUCCCAGGAUCAUGACGAGGGCUCUGUAACUUUAACAAAUGCUCAGGAGACACCUGGCCAGAAGCUUGUGCAGCAGCUCUGGAGCCUGCCCUCCCUUGUCACCCGCAACACCAUGACUUCGGAGGGUCUCAGCUCAGUCCUCCCUCCAGAGGGACUGUCAGUGCUGGGCAGAAAAUCACCCCUCAACGACCGGGCCCAGCUGCCCUCCGUCGGAGAGCAGAGAAAGCAGGCCUCCAGGAGAUUCUCACUCCACCAAGGAGACAUCUCCACCCAGUGCUCAUCCUGAGCAAGGGCACUGGGAGGAAGAAACGCAAUUUUUAAAACUGUGCUGUGAACGAUGGCUUCUGCUGCUUCCAUUUCUAGAGAGCUCUGGGCACUUAACAUCCUUCCACCCACACGCCCGAGUCUGUGCAGAAACCUCACCCACGCAGAGGAGACUGCAUUUCCCAAUAGCAGAUUCAAGUCCUGAACUUCCUGUACCAUAAAGUGGUAUCCACACUGGUGAGUGCCAGCCUGAGACUCAACUAUCAAGAAAAACAUGAAGAAUUCAGUCCAUGCCCUCAACGCACUCAUUUGGCUCCCAAACGGCGAAUCUCAUCAAUGAGAUUCUCAGCUAGAAAAGUCCACACUGAACUCAUGCAGAGGCCUGGGGUUCUUGGUACCUGAGAUCUCUGAGCAGUUUUCUGAAUUUUCCGAUUUCCUGUUGAAGACAUGGGAACACGUGGCACACAGGCAUAGAGACCUGGAAACCAACAGGUGACCUCAAGGAGGUUUGUGAAGCUCCCUGAUGAGAAGACACUUGGGCAGAGGUGGCUGGCUAUCCCCCAAGUCCAUUUUCCCUCCUGGGACCAGAGCUGACUCCAUUUCUCAGUCUGCCUUGCAGUGAGCAUAGUCAGCUUCCUGGCACUGCUGGACCUGUCCCGGAGGCUCUUUUGGCCGGAAGUGGAUUGGCAGGGAUCUGAGAGCACCUGCUCUCAGGUGAGUCCUGCUUUACUCAUGUCAGAGAUUUAGACUAAAACAAACACAAAACGCAUCAAAGACCUAAGUGUAAUAGCUAAAAGUAUAAAACUCUUAUAAAAAAUAAGUGUAAAUUUUCAUGGUCUUAGAUUAGGUAGCACUGUCUUAGAUGUGCUAUCAGAAGCACAUACAACCACAGGAAAAAAAUACGUCAAUUGAAUUUCGUCAAAAUUUAAAACUUUUGUGCGUUAAAGUUCAUGAUCAAGAAAGUGAGAAGAAAACCCAGAGAAUGAGUGAAAUAUUUGCAAAUCAUACAUCUGGGACAAGUAUCCAGAAUAUGUAAAAAUUCUUAGAACUCAACAACAUAAAGAAAAAUAACCAAAUUAAACAGUAGGCAAAGGAUUCGAAGAGACCUUUGUCCAAAGAAGAUACACAAAUGACCAAUGAGUAUGUGAAAAGAUACUCAGCAGCUACUCACUAUGGAGAUACCACUUUCUACUCACACCGAUGGCUAUAAUAAAAAACAAACAGAAAUGACAAGUGCAGUGAAGAUGUGGAGAAACUGCAUUUCUCAUAGAUUGCUGACGGGAGAGUACCAUGGUGCAGCCAAUGUAGAAACAGUUUGGCAGUUCCUUAAAAAAUUAAACAGAGCUACCAUCUGA